rnacentral:rRNA from 1 species
AGCGAACGCUAGUGGCGGGCUUAACACAUGCAAGUCGAGCGCGAACUUCGGUUCGAGCGGCGGACGGGUGAGUAACACGUAGGUAAUCUACCUUUUGGUGGGGCACAACCGGAGGAAAACUCCGGCUAAUUCCGCAUAUGGCCUAAGGGUCAAAGCCUUCGGGCGCCAAGAGAUGAGCCUGCGGCCCAUUAUUUAAUCCUAGUUGGUGGGGUAAUGGCCUACCAAGGGUACGAUGGGUAGCUGGUCUGAGAGGAUGAUCAGCCACACUGGGACUGAGACACGGCCCAG